UCUCCUCUACUCGAACAGAUGCAUAAACAGAUACAGAUAGUCAGAUACUGACGUGUACUGUGUACAUAGAAUCAGGAGGUAGUUUGGUCUUUUUCUAUGUUUAUAAAUGGAAAAGGAAAAAGGGAAAUCACUAAAAGAGGAAAGUGGCAUCGUAAUCAAGGAGCCAACGAGCGGAGUGGCAAUUCUGCGAAACCAAUCUUGAAAGUGGCAAUUUUGAGAAGGGAGCCACAUAUUGAAAGUCUCUCGAUCGAUCGCUAAAAGGCCCCGCGGUAAAAAAAGAAAAAAAACCGCCCGCCCGCACGACCCGCUCCUUCUCCCGCACGACCUCCUUCCCCUCCCGCGCCGUUCGCCUCCCGCAGCUUCACCGCCGCCUCGCGCCGCCGGAACCACGGGAAGCGGCCGCAGGUUGCCGGGAGCCCGCCCCCGCCGCGGGUCGCCGCCUGCCUCCCCAGCCGCAGGAGCCCGCCGCGUCGUGGGUUGCCGCCUGCCUCCCCAGCCGCGGGAGCCCGCCCCGCCGCGCCUUCGCCGCCUCCCCAGCCGCAGCUUGGCCGCCGCCACUCCGCCUCCGCCACGCCGCCACUCCGCCGGAGUCGCAACAUCCAAGAAGCGGCUCACGGCGUACCAGAUCCGAGGCAACACCACCGCCACCUGCAGCUUGUCCUCCUUGGUCUGAUUCGCCACCCUGUAUCCCCCAAAACCUCACAAGUUUGCAGGUACUGUCCUCUCUGAUCAAUAAUCUUGUUCUUCCUCUCUGCUCCCAGGUUAUUUUCUCUUAUUAUCUGGCAAUCUCUGAUGUUACUUUUGAUUUUUGUAGUAUCAUUAGUUUCAUUGUACUGAUGAACAUGGCAAUAUGCAGGGAGUGUGCAUCUAGGAAGAAUGACGUGAAAAUAAAAGAUGCAUUUAUUUGAUGAUAAGAUCAGUACAAUGAUAAUCCCAAAUAUAGAAACAAAGUGAAGAGGAACAAUGUACUGCUCCCGUAAUGUCAGGCAAAUUUCUAAAAAGAAAACAGUUCAAUCCUAAACUAUAUAUUUGGUGAAGCGAUUAAUAUAGACUUGAAAUUACAAGUUUAGAAUUCGCUUUAGACUUUCUAAUUCAGAAGUAUUUAAGUUUAAAUUCAAUAAGAAUUCUGUACUGCCCACACUGUAAAAUGUUUUUCAAGGAAGGAUUGUUUACAUUUAAGCAGACCACUUUUACGCCACAUGGGUUGUAAAUAGCCUGCCAGCAACAUUAUUUGUUAUUUACCUUGAAGCUAAACAACAUGGUGCCUUUGGUUCUUCGGGGCUGUUUGGUUGUUGCCCAGCAGCGCCACGCCAAAUUGUGGGCGUCGCGGGCGCGCCAAUAUAUUGGCAGCCAAAACGGACGCCCCUGGUUUCGCCAACGAAUUGGCGUACAAGCACAGAGGAAAAGGUGGGUUCAGUUGGCGAGCCAAAACGUUGGAACCAAUCCAAGCAAGCUGCGGUGUCCUGGUCAACGCCAAAAUAUUGGCUGGGCGUGCGACGGAUCCAAUCCAAACAGCCCCUUCAUGUGUGCCAACUGAUUUCUUAUCUUCUACCUCUGCUUAUUUGCAUCUAUCCUUAAUGUUGCUUCGUUUUCAUUGAGAGGCUAGACUUCAUUUUGGUGCCACUACGAUGAUGUUUUUUUUACUAUGAAGUGGAAAAAGGGGUCGGAAACUAAAUAUUGUUAUGCCAGGUUAUUUUCUCUUAUUAUCUGGCAAUCUCUGAUGUUAUGGUGAGAAGUAGAAACUAUUAAAGUGAUGUACACAACGGUGUGAACUCUUAUAUCCUGUGAUUUUGGACAACAUAUUAGACUAUUCUUAUAUAAUUAAUUCCGAUUACUAUAUUAAUUUGAUUCUUAUAAUGCUGGUCUUGCUAGCUUUCAAAGUAGGCUUCUUAUGCAUUUUUUUACAACAAAUGCUCAUGGAGCUGAUAUAUAUAGUAGUGCUCUUUGUGUUCAUAUUGUAGCAUGCCGCAUGGAUUGAGCUCGAGCCUGACUCCAGCAAGCUUUCUUUUAGUUGGUCGUGCUACAGUUUUUAAUUUGGUUUCAGAUUUUUCAACUUGACAUAUAUGUAUUUAGCCCUCCUCAUUUACUCAUCUCUGAUUCUUUGGGUCGUUUUAGAAGUUCUGAUAGUUUAAUCUAUUAGCAGUACGGUGUCGAUGAUGCUCUACGACUAGCAGAAAAAUUCUAAUAUACCUUUUAUUUUCUUACAUAGUGUUUCCUACGCUCCCGCAAAAAAAAAAGUGUUUCCUACGUGCAAACUCUGCUUUAGUGCUUAUGUGUGUAAAUUAUUAACUCAAUGUAAAUCGAUUUCUUCAUAUUUCUUUGUGCUUGUUACUGCAUAUUGCUUGUUUUGGACCACUGUACAAAAUUGCAUCUAAAUUGAGACUGAUACCUACUUUUCAAAUUGUCAGAGAUGACAAGAUCCACUUUCUUUUGGAAAGGAGAAGGGAGGACAGAGAGAAUCAAAACAAAGGAAUGUAACCAUCAACUUAUUACAUUUUUCCUUCAAGAACUAACAUUGUUGCUGUAACACACAAAACCUGUAUCGUUUUAGUAGAACAUCCAUUCUUAUUCUCAGCCUCUCACCUGCAGUAGUACAUACAAAUAAAUUCCUACCAGUAGGCAAAAACCAUGUGAAGCCCCUAAUCCUCCGCUGAUAUUUUUCCUAGGCAACUUCACAUGGAAUUAGGAUCAGUUAAUAAGAUUAUGGUAUAUUUUCAAAUUUUCUUGCUUUAUGCAUGAACCUAUCAUCAAGAUUUCAAUCUCUUAUAUGUGCCUUUGCUGUUGUAGAUUUAUUGGUGUUGAUUUGCAGUAAGAGGAAAUGUACUGUUGUUCUCAUCAAUUUCUUUCAUACCAUGUGUAUGGUUAGUUCUUAAUAUUCUUCAUUAUUCACAAUACUUGAACCCACUAGGAUUCAUUUAUUGUUAUUUACCUUCAAGCACUAUAUAUUACUGUUGUUUAUUGUCCACCUUGAUCCUUUGCUGAUGUUUUUCCUAGGCAACUUCACAUGGAAUUAGGAUCACUUAAUAAGAUUCUGGUAUAUUCUGCAAAUUUUCUUGCUUUAUGCAUGGACCUAUCAUCAAUAUUUGGAUCUCUUAUAUGUGCCUGUGCUGCUGUAUAUUGGUUGGUGUUGAUUUGCAGUAAGAGGAAAUGUACUAUUGUUCUCAUCAAUUUCUUUCAUACCAUGUUAUAGAAAUAUGUUGUUUAAAUAUGAAGAGGCGGAUAAGUUUCUGGCUUUAGUUACUGACUAUCCAGAUCCGGCUUGCUUCUCAGCCAUGGCCUACAUUUAGAAGAAAUAUGUUGUUGAAAUAUGAAGAGGUGGAUAAGUUUCUGGCUUUAGUUACUGAAUAUCUAGAUCCGGCUUGCUUCUCAGCCAUGGUCUACAUUUAGAGAAGACAUGUUCAUAUGUAAGAGAUUUAAGGUCAAUGAUCUCCCCCUGUUGUAAUGCUCAUCAUCUUAAAUCGGACAUUGCUAUAUAUAUGCACCAUGGUUCAUGACUGUACUUUUUUCAUACGUCUUUACAAAGUUUGUCAGUAUUAUUAUGCAGAGACAACCUGUCAUGGUUCUGCGUUGAUGUGUUCGUUCAUUUGUCAGUUUCUUUUGCUUUGAAACAAUGUUGAUUGGCUGAAAGAAUGGUUGCGCGUGUCUUACACGCUUAUACCUACUUGAAAGUUAAAUUUUAUUAGCAAAUCCAUCGAGAACAAUGUCAACAUUUUACGUCUUGCUACAUGAAGCUAUGUACUGCAGGGUACAAUAGUGUUAACAUUUCCGGUGCUCAUUGACAAUAAGAUCGAAGAUGUAUUUUCUUGAUUGGAAAUAUUAUACCUCAAAUUUAAUUCAACUGUGGUUACAAUGACAACUUUAUGCCUUGAAUAACAAGUGAUUAUGUGAGUGUAGGAAUUAGGACUGGUGACAACAACAUGUGGAGCGGCACAACAAGUGGUGCUGUGGGGGCACCGAAGCAAGGGCAGUCAGGCAAAUCCAACGGCGUGAACGUCCCUAUGUAUAGCUUGGGAGGGGUCCCAUCGCUGACUGCGAUCGCCCUAUCUGGAGAAGGGGCACGUUGGUUCAUGAAACAAUCAACACGUCUUUAUGACUCGGAAUUAGGAAUCCUAUGCACUUUGCAUCAAAUUUGAAUUCCCAAAAGAGUUAUUCAUGUUAUGAUAGAAAUAUUUAUGUUUCA